rnacentral:rRNA from 1 species
UACGGGGGGGGCAAGCGUUGUUCGGAAUUACUGGGCGUAAAGGGCUUGUAGGUGGCCAACUAAGUCAGACGUGAAAUCCCUCGGCUUAACCGGGGAACUGCGUCUGAUACUGGUUGGCUUGAGUUUGGGAGAGGGACGCGGAAUUCCGGGUGUAGCGGUGAAAUGCGCAGAUAUCUGGAGGAACACCGGUGGCGAAGGCGGCGUCCUGGACCAACACUGACACUGAUGAGCGAAAGCCAGGGGAGCAAACGGG